CUGGUUUCCCCCAGAGGAGAUAAGCUCAGAUAUGUGCUCCAGAUUCACUUUGAUUCCUCCAACAAUGAGGCAGAAUAUGAGGCCCUCUUAUAUGGGUUGCGCAUGGCCAUUUCACUCGGCGUCCGUCGCCUGAUGGUCUAUGGCGACUCGGAUUUAGUGGUCAAUCAAGUGAUGAAGGAGUGGGACGUGAGAAGCCCAGCCAUGACUGGAUACUGCAGUGCAGUGAGGAAGCUGGAAAAGAAGUUCGAGGGGUUGGAGCUCCAUCAUAUACCCCGACUGAAAAAUCAAGCAGCUGAUGAUCUAGCAAAGAUAGGUUCCAAGAGAGAAGCCAUUCCGAGUGGUGUGUUCUUGGAGCAUGUACACACUCCGUCAGUCAAAGAAGAUCCUUUCACCGAAGAA
rnacentral:rRNA from 1 species